UAAAUUCUAGUGCGAGUAAUCGAUAGCUGCAAUCAAUUGUUUUCGACAGAAAAGUUUCGAGCAAUCGGAAAGAAUGAAGUUCGAUCGAUUAUUGAAACUCGAAUCGAACUCGCAUUCGAUUUGACUUCGAUAUGCUCGCACUAGUGACGCCAUAUUGUAGACAGGGGUUCACGGAUCUCGAGCCGCACACAACUGAGAAUCGCGUAUACAUGUACUGCGCGAAGCGUUCUGCGGGAUCCGUGGACCCCAGUGAAUCCCGAACAAAGCUAUAAAUCAAUAUAUAUUUCAAAUAGAAGAUUAGAGAUUGCAUUAGUAGCAAGGUAACAGAAGCUCGUUGCACACACAUCGAGGAAAGAUUAAUGUGUAUACGGUUAUCAAGUGCUUACGAUAUCACGAAGUUCACCACGACACAGCAAUGCGGCACAUACACGUGUAUUAUUACGCCAGGUGUGUUUACCAUUCAAUUGUCCAAUUAAUCCGGAAAUGUUCACAUCCUUCUGCAUCCAAAAACAGUUACCUGGGGGACAAUCUGCGGAUCCUCGCUUUAAUUAAACCCGUGAGACGCGAAGAUAUCUUCUCGAAUAACUCGCGCCACUCGGAAAGAUUAUACCUCGCGGGCGUAUAUAUCGACAACGCGCUGCGAAAGGAAGACGGGCGUCUCGCAAGGAGGAAGACAAUGCCGGGAGGAGCCGCGGUGGGACGGCGAGAGAUAAAAAGAAAGUGGAAAAUGAGACGGGCGAGUUCUGAAAGUGGAACGGGGCUGUGCGCCAGUGUGGGAGAUAAGAGCGCGGACCGAAGAAUGCACCGGCUCUCCAGUCCGCGGCGUGAUUUGUAUCUCCUUCGUCCGUGGAGUCCGGAGUCUGCGCCGCCUGGUAGGUGCGCCCCUGACUGUGUCGGCUCU
rnacentral:lncRNA from 1 species